GAUGAACGCUGGCGGCGUGCCUAAUACAUGCAAGUCGAGCGAACUUUUGGGAGCUUGCCCCCACUAGUUAGCGGCGGACGGGUGAGUAACACGCGGGUAACCUGCCUGUAAGACUGGGAUAACUUCGGGAAACCGGAGCUAAUACCGGAUAACAUUGAAGACAACAUGGCCUUCAAUUAAAAGGUGGCUUUUAGCUACCACUUACAGAUGGACCCGCGGCGCAUUAGCUAGUUGGUGAGGUAACGGCUCACCAAGGCGACGAUGCGUAGCCGACCUGAGAGGGGGAUCGGCCACACUGGGACCGGGGCACGGCCCAGACUCCUACGGGGGGCAGCAGUAGGGAAUCUUCCGCAAUGGAGGAAAGUCUUACGGGGCAACGCCGGGUUGGCGAAGAAGGCCUUCGGGUCGUAAAGCUCUGUUGUUAGGGAAGAACAAGUAGCGUUCGAAUAGGGCGAUACCUUGACGGUACCUAACCAGAAAGCCACGGCUAACUACGUG
rnacentral:rRNA from 1 species